UCUUGUCUCUAGUUUCAAUGAAUGUAGAUUAAGAGACAGUCUUACCUUCAUAAUCUACAUUCAUUGAAUCUAGAGACAA
rnacentral:pre_miRNA from 1 species